rnacentral:rRNA from 1 species
GACGAACGCUGGCGGCGUGCUUAACACAUGCAAGUCGAACGGAAAGGCCCUGCUUUUGUGGGGUGCUCGAGUGGCGAACGGGUGAGUAACACGUGAGUAACCUGCCCUUGACUUUGGGAUAACUUCAGGAAACUGGGGCUAAUACCGGAUAGGAGCUCCUGCUGCAUGGUGGGGGUUGGAAAGUUUCGGCGGUUGGGGAUGGACUCGCGGCCUAUCAGCUUGUUGGUGGGGUAGUGGCUUACCAAGGCUUUGACGGGUAGCCGGCCUGAGAGGGUGACCGGCGACAUUGGGACUGAGAUAGGGCGCAGACGCCUACGGGAGGCAGCGGUGGGGAAUAGUGCACAGUGGGCGGAAGCCUGAUGCAGCAACGCCGCGUGCGGGAUGACGGCCUUCGGGUUGUAAACCGCUUUCGCCUGUGACGAAGCGUGAGUGACGGUAAUGGGUAAAGAAGCACCGGCUAACUACGUG